rnacentral:ncRNA from 1 species
AGAGAGCUUGGCGGGCUGGUUGUUCUGAGAUUAUACUGUCAAAACUUGAUCUAGAUAAUACUAGCGAAAGGACAUGCGUGGCUUUGAUC